rnacentral:rRNA from 1 species
UACAGAGGUCUCAAGCGUUGUUCGGAUUCAUUGGGCGUAAAGCGCACGUAGGCGGCGCGGUAAGUCGGGUGUGAAAUCUCGGGGCUUAACUCCGAAACUGCAUUCGAUACUGCCGUGCUUGAGGACUGGAGAGGAGACUGGAAUUUACGGUGUAGCGGUGAAAUGCGUAGAUAUCGUAAGGAAGACCAGUGGCGAAGGCGGGUCUCUGGACAGUUCCUGACGCUGAGGCACGAAGGUCAGGGGAGCAAACGGG